rnacentral:rRNA from 1 species
AUAUUACUAAGCCGAGGAAAAGAAACUAACCAGGAUUCCCCGAGUAACGGCGAGUGAAACGGGACCAGUCCAAAUUUGAAAUCGGCACCUCGCGUGCCGAGUUGUAAUUGGAAGACGCGUGAUCGUGCACGGCGCCCGUCUAGGUCCGCUGGAAAGCGGCACCAGAGAGGGUGACAGUCCCGUUCGGGCGGGCGCGAGAAUCGGUGCGCAUCAGACACGCAGUCGAAGAGUCGGGUUGUUUGGGAAUGCAGCCCAAAAUGGGUGGUAAACUCCAUCUAAGACUAAAUAUUGGCAGGAGACCGAUAGCGCACAAGUA